rnacentral:sRNA from 1 species
AAAUCAAGGAUAUUAUUAGUGAAAUAGAAAUCAAGGAUAUUAUUAGUGAAAUUCUGAUUUUUAAAAAAAUAUAUAUUUCUAAUAGACAACAAAACUUUUUCUUUUUUUAUUGAUACAAUUUAUAUUUUUACUUUUGUCAUGUUGCUUAGGUAGUUGAGUUUAAUUACAUAAUGUAAUACUUUGCUUUGAUCAAUAUGAUGCUAUGAAUAUGAUCAAGUGGUAAAGUUUCAACUUCAAGUGAAGGUGAUUGCAUAACAUGAACAUGAACAUGAAUCUCUAGGUUUUGAUAUCUUAUUCUAAAACACAAAGCUAUAUUUGAAAGCGAAUGUCGGAGAAAAACUACAUGAAUUCAGUGGUUAUGAACACAUCUUCUAGGUGUAAGAUUGAGAUAGAAAACUAAGGUGUUUAUUUGAAAAAUUCUAUGAUAAUGAUGAACAAUCAGUUAGGAAUGAGGGUAUUGUUUACAUCUUGGAUCAUCCAGAAGAUAAUCAUAGAUCACAGUCUCAACAAGUUUAUGGCUUACCUGAAGUAUCACCAAAUGAAGAUGAGAGUUUUGACUGAAUUUGUAGAGUCAAAUGGUACCAUUGAGAAACACGGUCAUGGUAGAAUAGCAGUGGAUGAAAUACACAAAAUUGUUGUGGCAGACAUCCGAUUUGCUAACAUAAAUAGGAAUACAACUAAUCUUUUGCUACAAGAAAGUAACAACGGGUCUGUUCACCUACUGCCAAGAUAUUAUGAACGGUUCUUCUUCAAUCAUCCUAAACGACAACAAAAAAUAUUUGAUUGAUUCAAAUUCUAUUUUCCUUUUGUCGUAUUGCUUAACUAGGGGAGUUUAAUUCAAUAACAAAAUAUUUUGCAUUGAUUACAUUAAUCAUGAAAUUAUCCAAAUUUGAAAGAUUCGUAACUUUGUAAAUAGAGAUUUUAUAUUUAGUUGUUUAUAGAUCAAUAAUAAAUAAUUAAGCAAUAUAAUAAUUGAUGGUUUGGAUUAUCAUUGUUGU